GUGCUCGCUUCAGCAGCACAUAUACUAAAACUGGAACGAUACAGAGAAGAUUAGCAUGGCCC
rnacentral:snRNA from 1 species